rnacentral:rRNA from 1 species
GACCAGACUCCUACGGGAGGCAGCAGUGGGGAAUAUUGCACAAUGGGGGAAACCCUGAUGCAGCGACGCCGCGUGAGUGAAGAAGUAUUUCGGUAUGUAAAGCUCUAUCAGCAGGGAAGAAAAUGACGGUACCUGACUAAGAAGCCCCGGCUAACUACGUGCCAGCAGCCGCGGUAAUACGUAGGGGGCAAGCGUUAUCCGGAUUUACUGGGUGUAAAGGGAGCGUAGACGGCAUGGCAAGUCAGAUGUGAAAGCCCGGGGCUCAACCCCGGGACUGCAUUUGAAACUGUCAGGCUGGAGUGCAGGAGAGGUAAGUGGAAUUCCUAGUGUAGCGGUGAAAUGCGUAGAUAUUAGGAGGAACACCAGUGGCGGAGGCGGCUUACUGGACUGUAACUGACGUUGAGGCUCGAAAGCGUGGGGAGCAAACAGGAUUAGAUACCCCUGUAC